CUUUGUCCCGUGGGCAGGUCGGUAGGAGCGCAGAGUGAAGGGGAGCGGACAGCAGCCGUCGCCAAGAGUCAGCCUUGGCGAGACGGCGGAGCCUCCGCCCAGUGGGAUCGGGCCAGCCUGCUGGCGCGCGAGGUCAACCUGAGGUCACGCUGCAUCCUGGAGGGCGUGAUUCGCACCACGGCCUGCUGACCCGGCGGCCAGCGCUCGCGCCCCGCCGGCCGCCAUCGCCGCUCGUCCGGCUGCCAUGCCAGUAUUCUAGUCCAAUCUUUGAUCUCACCGCGUUACGUUGUUCAGGGUUGAGGAUCUCACGCUUAUCAGUCAGUAUUGGCAAUGUGUUCCAAGAAUAUUAUUUAUUUUUGUUGUGCGAAGGUGCAGGAAAUAUAUCGUACUAUUUA
rnacentral:lncRNA from 1 species